UACGGAGGGGGCAAGCGUUGUUCGGAAUUACUGGGCGUAAAGAGCGCGCAGGCGGUCGUUCAAGUCGCGUGUGAAAGCCCCCGGCUCAACUGGGGAGGGUCACGCGAUACUGAUCGACUCGAAGGCAGGAGAGGGUAGUGGAAUUCCCGGUGUAGUGGUGAAAUGCGUAGAUAUCGGGAGGAACACCAGUGGCGAAGGCGACUACCUGGCCUGUUCUUGACGCUGAGGCGCGAAAGCCAGGGGAGCAAACGGG
rnacentral:rRNA from 1 species